CAAAGAAUAGUUUAAAUAAAAUUUUAGUUUUGGGGACUAAGGAUGAGGGGAUACCUUUUCUUUGA
rnacentral:tRNA from 1 species